rnacentral:lncRNA from 1 species
GUGAUCAAUAGUAUAAAAAUAUAUUAUUUUCUAAUUUAAGCUUUUUAUGGUAAAAUAUUUCCUGAAUUUUUCCUGUACAAGUACUUAAGAUGAUUGCAUGGAUAUGUUCCCACUUCUCUAACAAUACAAAGUCUUUUGUUUAGUUCAUUAAAUAAGAAUUGUCUCACUCGAUCCAAUGUUCAAUUAGGUGCAUUGUUACUUUUAACAAUACUAGAACACACCCGGGACUUAGCAGGUCAUUGACUGAAUUAUAGUACAUGUGUACCUAUGCCUUAUUUUUAGCCUGGAUUUUUGGUAUUCGCUAUUUGCUGAUUAUAAGGUGCACAGUUUUCUCUGCCUUUAAAAUCUUUCUGUUUGAACCAGUCCUGGCUUUCUUACUACAUUGCAUACAACUAGAAACUAACACUUCAUGUGACAUAUGCUAUAGGUAUCUGUAUCAGUUCAACCCAGAACAUGUUAUAUUAUAAAUAUUGGAUUGACAUGCUCUGCAAUCAACAUUCAAAUAUGAAAACUGUGAAAAAUAUAAUAGAAAAAGGAAUAACAUGAAAUAGAUUCAGUGUUAAAGUUAUCUUUCAAAUUUAGUAUUUUCUCAUAGAUUUGUCACACAGAUAGUUUCAUAGAUAAGGUGCAUGCAUAUGUCAAUCAAAAUAUUUUCUUAAUUUUGGAUUCAUAAUAAAAAAUGGUAAACAUUUUCAUUAAUAGUUCAUAGGUAUUCAUCAGGUUCAUCAGAUUUAAGAAGAGGGUUAAAUGACAUUAUGAAAGCCUCAAAACAGGCUUUAAAUUAGUGCUUGGAGUUAAGGAAUCCAGUUAUCUCCUUUUUUUCAAGAGGAUAUCCAAUCUAUCUUGUUGUUAUCAAAAUCUUAAGAAUAUAAUGUACUUCCAUUUUACAUAUCUAUUAUAACCAAUUGGUAUAAAUCCAUUUAAACGUACUACAACUAUUAAUGUACAUUAUUUCAUUUUGUAAUUUGCAAUUGAAAAAGCAGCUGAUUUUUGAAUUUUUUUUUAAAUGUAUUUGAUAUUAGUUUUGCAAAGCAAAAUAUUUUUUGUUGAAAAUCAAAGUAUAUGUUUAAUGUAAUUUUUUUUAUGUCUAGUCAGCAAAAAUUGUAAAACUGGAAAUGAUGCACUGACAGUAUUGGUUAAGUCUCAACAUUUUAACUGUCGUUGCAAAAUUUUCCAUUUUUAUUAUUUUCGAGUCACUGUAAUUUUUAUGUAUUAAACCAGCACUGCCAUGUUUAUAAUUUUAAUGCAUUUAAAUAGAAUAUGAUACACCUAUAGAAAGUUUGUAAAUUUUUGCUUUGGAAUAAUUGUAUAUUUUUCAAACGUAUUUUUCCUUUUCUUCAAAAAGGUCAAUAUAUACUUUAUUGUGGAUAAAUAUUUUUGGCAGAGUUAAGGUGGUACCCAACACUUUCACUAAAAUUAAUUUGGCUCGUUUGAUUUUCAUAAAAUUUUGACAAAGUAUUUACUUUGAUCCUUUAACAAAAAUUGAAAAAAAAAAAAAUUUUGAACCAACCGUUUUGUCAAAAAAAUUACACUGGUUAUAUAGCAGUUUGACAAACACCAAUUUUGAUCAUUGAGAAGCUUAAGAUACUCUUUACAACACAACAUUAUUAAAACGUUUAUCUGACUUUACAGAGUUAUCUCCCUGUAGUGUUAGGUACCACCUUAAGUUCUUGAUUUAGUCUAGAUUCUGUAUUUUUGUUUAAAUUGCAAAAUUAUUCAUACCUUUAAAAGAUAAAUUUUAAUAACAAUUUUGUACGAAUAUAGACAUUUUGAUUAUUAUUUUCAAACUUCUCAGUUAUAACUUAUAUUUUACAGUUGAAACAAGAGUUAUCACACUGAAAGCAUCAUUGCUUAUUAUUGAAAAUAAGCGUAAAGUUCUUUACUUUUAAUCAACUCUGUAUAGAGUUAUUAGAGAAAUUUUGUCUAUGACAAAAAGUUGUAUUAAAAUACCAAAUUGUUAUAUUUUUGCCAAAAUCAAAUAUUUUAUAUAAAUAUAUAUUUUUUUUUGUUUUUUAACCAAAACAUUUAAUGAUGUCUGAAUAUUUUAAGAACCUUAGUUUUUUG